rnacentral:rRNA from 1 species
UGAACGCUGGCGGCAUGCUUUACACAUGCAAGUCGAACGGUAACAGGCCUUCGGGCGCUGACGAGUGGCGAACGGGUGAGUAAUGCAUCGGAACGUGCCCAGUCGUGGGGGAUAACGCAGCGAAAGCUGUGCUAAUACCGCAUACGAUCUGCGGAUGAAAGCGGGGGACCUUCGGGCCUCGCGCGAUUGGAGCGGCCGAUGUCAGAUUAGGUAGUUGGUGGGGUAAAGGCCCACCAAGCCGACGAUCUGUAGCUGGUCUGAGAGGACGACCAGCCACACUGGGACUGAGACACGGCCCAGACUCCUACGGGAGGCAGCAGUGGGGAAUUUUGGACAGUGGGCGCAAGCCUGAUCCAGCAAUGCCGCGUGUGUGAAGAAGGCCUGCGGGUUGUAAAGCACUUUCGGUUGGAAGAAAGACCGGGAUUAAUACUUCCGGGACUUGACACUACCAUCAUAAGAAGCACCGGCUAACUCCGUGCCAGCA